rnacentral:rRNA from 1 species
AUGAUUAAGCGCUUGAAGGACCAAUACUUUGCAGAACUCAGUGAUCUGUACAGUCAUGUCUCUGGGAAUUUGAACGUUGUUGACAAUAUCAUACCCCGUCAAGAGCCAUUAGAGCAGUAUGAUUGGAUGAGGAACUUCAAAAUUAUGCUUGAGCACAUACUGCAAGUCCUGCAAAUGAGCAAGAAUAGCAUUCAACUUGAACCUGCUUUGAGGAACGAAGUUUGUCAAUACGAGAAGCGAAUUAUUAAAAUGCGGAUGCUUAAAGUGUACGUGCCUCAACAACAGCUUCUCACACAACAGCCACAUCAAGUACAAAAACUACAGCAAUGGUCUCUAACACCGUCACAUCAAGUACAGAAAGUACAGAAACUACAGCCACAUUUGAUACAUACAGCACAGAUGCAACCAAACAAUCCACAGCAACAUCACCUGAUGAUGCAACAGCAACAACAACGGCCUCUGACACAGUCAACACAGAUGCAAGCAAACAUUCAGCAUCAACGGUCUAUGAUGUCUUCGACACAGAUGGCACGGAUUUUAGCAUGUAGGGAAGCCCAGGUGCAACAACUAUUUCAGUGGCAACCGUCUCAGAUGUGA